ACUCCUACGGGAGGCAGCAGUGGGGAAUAUUGCACAAUGGGCGCAAGCCUGAUGCAGCAACGCCGCGUGAGCGAAGAAGGUCUUCGGAUCGUAAAGCUCUUUUCUUAGGGAAGAAAACUGACGGUACCUAAGGAAUAAGCACCGGCUAAAUACGUGCCAGCAGCCGCGGUAAUACGUAUGGUGCAAGCGUUAUCCGGAAUCACUGGGCGUAAAGGGUGCGUAGGCGGUUUUGCAAGUCAGAAGUGAAAGGCUACGGCUCAACCGUAGUAAGCUUUUGAAACUGCAAGACUAGAGUGCAGGAGAGGAAAGUGGAAUUCCUAGUGUAGAGGUGAAAUUCGUAGAUAUUAGGAGGAACACCAGUGGCGAAGGCGACUUUCUGGACUGUAACUGACGCUGAUGCACGAAAGCGUGGGGAGCGAACAGGAUUAGAUACCCUGGUAGCACAGAG
rnacentral:rRNA from 1 species